GUCUACGGCCAUGCCACCCUGAACGUGCCUGAUCCUGUCUGAUCUCGGAAGCUAAGCAGGGUCGGGCCUAGUUAGUACUUGGAUGAGAGACCACCUUGGAAGACCAGGUGCUGUAGGCG
rfam:Pteropus alecto contig65996, whole genome shotgun sequence.